GUUCACAGAUGGAUCAUGACGGAUUGUGGGGAAGCAUCGCAGAUGAAAAUCUGCUGUGUGGAGCCCUACACGACAAGCUGCAGAGGCCACUGAAGGUACCUGUCCAGAAGAGAAUAAGAAGUACAUAUCCUGGAAGACUUUGUGUUCAGAGAGGAGAUAUAAGCCCUGGCAAGGUCACCUGAUGUUCCUUUUUUUAGCUCUCCCUUGCCUCUGCUGCUUGACCCGACUGCGCAUCUCACCUCAGUGAUCUGCAGAUCCUUCCACCCUGCUAGUCACAGAACUGGGCUGAACCUGCCCUUAAACCACUGACACUCUUGUUGGAUGCCGAGGGCAACUUGGUGACCAAGGAUCAGGAUAUGGCUGAGGUGACCUGCCUAGUGGAUGAAGGUAAGGCUGCCGAUGUGGUCUACCUCGACUUCAGUAAAGCCUUUGACACUGUCCCCCACGACAACCUUGUGGAGAUGCUGGCUGCUCAUGGUUUGGAUGGGCAUACGCUCCAUUGGGUGAAACGGUGAAACACUGGCUAGAUGGCUGGGCCCAAAGAGCUGUGGACAAUGCAGUUAAAUCCGGUUGGCAGCUUGUCAUGAGCAGUGUCCCCCAGGGUUUGGUACUGGGGCUGCUUCUAUGUAACAUCUUUAUUAACGAUUUUGACAAG
ensembl:lncRNA